rnacentral:rRNA from 1 species
UGAGGGAUAUUAGGUCAAUGGGGGAAACCCUGAACCAGCAACGCCGCGUGAGGGAAGACGGUUUCGGAUUGUAAACCUCUGUCCUCUGUGAAGAUAAUGACGGUAGCAGAGGAGGAAGCUCCGGCUAACUACGUGCC